GAUGAACGCUGGCGGCGUGCCUAAUACAUGCAAGUCGAGCGAACAGACGAUGAGCUUGCUCCUCUGACGUUAGCGGCGGACGGGUGAGUAACACGUGGAUAACCUACCUAUAAUACUGGGAUAACUUCGGGAAACCGGAGCUAAUACCGGAUAAUAUAUUGAACCGCAUGGUUCAAUAGUGAAAGACGGUUUUGCUGUCACUUAUAGAUGGAUCCGCGCCGCAUUAGCUAGUUGGUAAGGUAACGGCUUACCAAGGCAACGAUGCGUAGCCGACCUGAGAGGAUGAUCAGCCACACUGGAACUGAGACACGGUCCAGACUCCUACGGGAGGCAGCAGUAGGGAAUAUUGGGCAAUGGGCGAAAGCCUGAUGCAGCAACACCGCGUGGGUGAAGAAGGUCUUCGGGUUGUAAAACCCUUUUGUUAGGGAAGAAAAGCAGCAGGUGAAUACCCCGAUGUCCUGACGGUACCUAAAGAAUAAGCAACGGCUAACUACGUG
rnacentral:rRNA from 1 species